rnacentral:tRNA from 1 species
ACAGGUAGAGUGCAUGCUUGGCAUGCAUGAGGUCCUGGGUUCAACCCCCAGUGCCUGUU